UAAUCGUGCAAACUAUGACUGUUAGUUAACUGUGUGAACCAAAACCCUGUUUUAGGAGUGUAAGUGGCCACUAGAGGCCGUUAGAGGUACUGCGUCCAAGUGUCAGGUCAUUCAUGUGCCAGGGGUUGAGGCUGUGAGCCCAGGAACCUGUAUAUUCGAUGGGUAUACACUGAUUGAUGAUUUCCAUAGAAGAAGGACACGUGUGAGCAAAGAGACCCUCACGCCAAUUAGAAGCAGCAAGUCAACCUUGCACCCUUUGGCUAGCGGAGCGAGUGUAAAAGAAUGGGAGGAUACCUGGAAGCCUGCUGUUAAUAUGUCUGUGCCUAGCUGCCUGGUUAUUGUUUUAAGAGUUCCCAAUUCUGUAUUUGUUAUUGAUAUACACUGUAUACAUUUUAUGAGCUUGUUGAGAUACUGUUACAGCCACUGUCUUUUUCUCUGUUCAUGUUUUGUUUGUUAUCGACUUACAUUUACAUUUAGUCACUUCCUGGGUUCUGGGCAUCGAUUGUGGUUCAACUUUGCUGCCUCCAUAACACUUAACUUACAACAUGGGUGAGUUGGUGACCUAGCUAACGUUUUUCAGGUUUUUGUUUUAGAUUCACAGUUGGGUAAGGGAGCGCGCUGGCUCCACCUUCCCAUUGCGGGGAGGGCCAGCAGCUACCAGGUUUUGGUUUUAUUUUCACUAACUCAGUCUUGUUUUUCUGUUCCAUAAACUUUGGUAUUAUUGUUAUAAACAUUGACUUGCAUUGUUGGACUCACUUAUGUAAGCCUACAAGCAACCGUCUGAUCCUUUGCUUGGUGGAGGUAAGAGUAGACUAUGAAGAGAAGACUUAGAUUAAAACUCAGGCCAUUACAAGUGGAUGUAAAUUUUUUAUCUUAUUAACACCACAUUGCAUACAAUGUUAAAUGAUGGAUUCCUUGUGGCUGAAUAUGAAUAAUCUGUUCUGGGAUUGCGGCACAAUGAAGUCGCAUUCAGAAUAAUCCAUGCCUUUAUAAAGGUGAUGGCAUGAAGGUAGGCUAUAUGAAUUAUAAAUAAUAUAUAUUUUCAUUUUUUGCGUGUUAAGGGUUAGCGUGGUAAGACUUAUACAAGUUUUUAAAGUAAUUAAAUAUGUCAUUAUGAAAUGUGCGCUACACUUAACUAAAAUGAUAUCCAUAGUGAACUUACGUGGACUACAAAUAUGGCGCAUAUUAGCGUUAAAACAUUGGCGGGGUUCUGGGAAAUGUAGUUCUUUUUUACUUAAAAUAAAAUAAAAAUUGAGAAUAUUUUUGUCCUGUUACAUUUAAAUUCUUAAUAUGACAAAUAUACAUUUAUUGGUCUUUUAUGAAAGACAAAAUGUAGCAGUGCUCGAAAAGUCAACAGUUAAAUGUCUUUAUACGUAACCUUUACUUAACAUUAUUUUAUAUCGUAAUCUUCGAACAUGGUUCCAGUAUAAUGUGAAAAGGUUCCAAAUACAAAAUCCCAGGCUGUUCCUAGCUUCAGCUGAAAAAGAAAAUGUAAACUUAAGGAAAUUACAUUUUCUAGGUGGCGCUGUUGAUCCCCUGUAGGGGCUAGGGUUAUGAAACUGAAAGACACAGUUUAUCUAACCCCAGUUAUUCACUGAACCAAGCCAGGACUAUGUGCCAUGAAAGGAACCCUAACCCUAAGUACCUUAAUUAGGGUUACUAAAUAUAGGGCUUUAAGGUGACCCCUGGCAAGGGUUCAAAGGUCAAUAUAUCAGAUAAGUGUUUACAGGGAUGUGUCAAACUUACAUAAGUGAACCUGCAACCUAAGACCUUUCCAAAAAUGGGUUUAAUUUUGUUGUACGACAAAGUCUUUUUUAAAUCAAAAUCUUCCAUUGCAGUGAGGUAUCUUUCCAAGUACAGAUUCCAAGACCAUUCAUAAUUUAAAUGGACUACAUCAGUGGUCGAAGUCAAAUUAUGUUUCGGUGGCACAUAGUCCUGGGGGGUGUUCCAUCAACGUCGAUUAAGGGAAAGCGAGACUUAUUUCGCCAAGUCUCACUAAC